AAUUGUAGAAUAUCUAAAAUUAUGUUUUGAAAUAUAAUUAAAUGUUAAUACAACAAUACAACAAAAAACAUUAAUAUAUGUUUUUAUUUUACAGUUUUAAUGCAUUUUGCUAUAGAUAGCUGUGCAUCAAAUCUGACAGGGAUGAAGGAGUGAGCAGGCUUCCAUCCUGCAUCUAAUGCUGUGUGAGCAGCCCACUUGCUACUACCCCCAAAAGAUCAAACAUUCCCUGAAGUGUGGUAGAAGACAGGAAGAAUGACACUUGCUAAUUUGAAUUUCAGAACACACCUAAACCACAUUCUGAUCUCCAGAUAUCAGAUUGAGACACAGUCUGGUCAACCAAAAUUUAGAAGUCUGAAUUCCUCAUAGAGUCAGUGGAAAGGGAUUGUUGAUGUAUUCCUUGACGUGCAAUAACCUGCAUUGGUCACAGAGCUCCACGUGAGGAUUUACCAACUCUGAGCAGAUUGGAAGAAAUAUUUUGCAGAGGUGGCUGGUAUGGUACAGCUGUUGGUGGCUACAAGCAGUGCAAGUUUUGCUCCUCAUCUGAAGCUAAAGGUGAAGAUUUCAAGAAGUGUUUGCUGUUAAAAAAAGAACUUGAAGGAAUGUAAAUGAGACAUGAAAACUGAUAUACUUAAAGGAGAAAUAUUAAAAUAAAAACCAUCAGGUUCAUUCUAUUUACCUUUGGUUCUCUGUAAAAUAAUACUGAAAUAAUACAGAAAAGUACUGCUAAUUUCCUGAAGUUGCUCUUCAGAAACUUAUUUAUUUGGAGAUUUUUUUUUUUUUUAAAUUAUUAUAUAUAUAUAUUUUAUGUAAAGUGAGAAGGACUAAUAAAAAAAAACCUCAACAUGCUAUUGGCAGCAAAUAUAGUAGAUGUGUAAACUUUGAGGCGGCUAUCCAGAUGAACCUGAUUGUUCUUUUGCCUGUUUGUCUAUAGAAAUAUGAAUUUGAUGAUCUCAUUAAAAAAAAAGUGUCUUAUCAAAUUUAUCAUUUCAUAGCUAUGUAUCAUGAAAUUCUCUGUGUAAAAAUUAAAAUAUGUUUGGCUAAAAUCUCAACAAGUAUAGAGUUACUGAGGAUAUCAUAAUUGAAUGAAGAGAAUAGCAUGUAGAGUCAUGGUAUGCUUUGAGCAGCUGUCAUGCUUCACUGUAGAAGUGGCAGUUUUCAACUGUAAGACCUGUAUUUGAAAGAUGUCGCUUUAUAACACAUUUUUUCCCCAAGGGGGACAUUUAAGUACAUUGGGCUAGUUUCAAACACCCCUUCAUUUUCAUCAGGGCUAGUUCUCAAUACUCAUUCAUACCACUGUAACCUCAACAGCUGAAAACGAAUAGUAAAAGAGAUGAUCCUGCAUGUGUGUGCAUAUAAACACAGAAUUUUAAAUGUAUAUGCAAAUGCAAUAUCUAAAUUUUCUCUUAGAAGUAGAAAAAUAUUCCAAAAAUAGUGAUCAAAAUGCAAAAUAUAUGUCAACCACUAUCAUCAUUUAUGAAUCCUUGGAAACUUGUCACCAGUGAUCUACCUUGCUACCUGUUUUUUGUGCUGGGACACUCCUACUCCCUUCUACGUCUCCUUGAUUUUAUAGGUGGAAGGGAAAAAAGAAAGAGAAUUGUAUUUCCAUUGUCAUUCAGUCAUGAUUUCUUGGUGAAGCAUUGGGGAUUAAGAUUACAUAUUACGCAUAUAAAGGAUUAUAUAAAGCGUAAUGCAUUAAAGUGUUUAUUGUGAAACACUAGAGGAGUAUAUUCCUUGAGCUGGGGCUCAGAGUACACUCAACAGUCACAACUUGGAGAAUGCUUUCUGGACUUUACAAAGUAGUGUCUGAAGAGAUGGGUUCUGAAGAAGCAUCAUACUUUGCCCAUAUCUUAAAUAUCUUAAAAUCAAGGACCAACACCUUGACUUCACAAUGGAUAGACAGGGUAUAAAAUAUAUAUUAGAAACAAGAGCACAUUUUAAUCCACAGCAAACGUAGAUCACUAGAGAGAAUAAAUCAUAAUCCAGCCAACUAUGUUUUUCUCCACCUGCUUCUUCUCGAAGCUCAAUUAAGACUCGACAUGUUUUUUCUUCUCCCCAGUUCCCUUUUAUCUGCUCCCCUUCUUGUGUUCCAUGUCUUUCUCCCCAUCCUCUUUAUCUGAUGAGGAUAGUGCUGUAGGAUAAUGAGAUAAUUCCUGGUUGUGUUGGAAUUCCCAGACACCUGGAUGAUAUAUUUUUUCUUCUAUCCUAGACUGGGUCAGAUAUGACCUGAUUACCCAUGGGUAUUUCAGUGGUAUAUGUUCAGGUUAAGUUAGUUCUUCUGGGAUAUAAUACAGUUUCUGUGCAUUGCAAAAUAUGUAAAUGACCAUCUUUAGAUACAAUGAUUUUGGUCUGGAAAUUCAGAUCUAGAUGAAUGGCUAGGAAAUAGCUUGGAUGUAUAAUGAACAGAAGUGUUUUAAGGUUUGUCUUCCAUCUCACCGAAAAUUUUACAGAUGUCUAACUGCUGGCUUUCUGUCCUGGCAUGGAUCCAGUUCUGAUUUGGCACUGACUAACUCUCCAUAUGCAGUGAGUGCUCCAAGUCUAGUGAAUUUUUAAAUACAACUACUCUGCAUACACUGUAUAAAUAAAAUAUUAACCACCCCCAACUCUGCCCCUCCCCCAACAUAAUUCUGCACAAAAUACCAUUCCCAAGGCUGUUUUAGUGAGUCUAAUCUAAAUUAGGUCUCAAACAAAGUAGUUUCUUUUUUUUUUUUUUUUUUUUUGAAUUUUAUGUUGCCAUUAGAAUUGUAUGAUUAUUUCUUAAAACAUUGGAUUAAUUUAGAUUCAAUAAAGCAAUUACAUCCAGCAAAGGGAUUAAGAAUUUAACAGACCUCCAAAAAGGCUAAUUAUAGGGCCAGUAAUUUAGCUGACUGUGAUGAUUCAACUCAGAUUUCUAUUUCUUAAGCUUUUGUGGACUCACUCUUUUCCCUGGUGCUUUAAUAAUAAGCUUGCAUGCAAAUACUUGCUUCUCUGUGACUGAGACCUAUGCAGCUUUGGACCAAAAUUGAUUGCUGAAGUUACAUGACUGAAAUGCCUCAGGAAAAAAAUUGCUAAAAAGAAAAACAUCCAGUAGACAGCUAUGUAAAGUGUGCUGCCUGUCUGUCUCUAAUGCUCCCAGGAUGGAAAAGGUUCUGCAAAUAAGGUCAGUGGAAUUAACACUCAAUUACCCUUAAAUAUCAAAGAGGGUGCCAGGCAUAGUUCUGACAACAUUUGGGGGUCAUAAUUGUGAGCCACCUGCUACAUGAGCUUAUGUCGUUAGAUGUUUUUUCUUCCUUAAAAUAACUGCUCAUCAGCUAAUAUGAGCUCACUCAGUCUUAUUUCAUACUAUUUAAGAGCGUAGAUGGUCAUAUACUGUAUAAAAUCCCUCGUCCUUUUUAUUUCAGAUCCCCCUGCUGAUAUAGACUGUCAUUGCUCCCCCAAAGCUGAUGGAGUACUAAGGAUUUACACCAGCUGAGGUCACACUUGUUAUUGCAAUCAAUCAAUAAACAGAGA